AUUGAACGCUGGCGGCAGGCCCAACGCAUGCAAGUCGAGCGGAUGAAGGGAGCUUGCUCCUGGAUUCAGCGGCGGACGGGUGAGUAAUGCCUAGGAAUCUGCCUGGUAGUGGGGGAUAACGUCCGGAAACGGGCGCUGAUACCGCAUACGUCCUGAGGGAGAAAGUGGGGGAUCUUCGGACCUCACGCUAUCAGAUGAGCCUAGGUCGGAUUAGCUAGUUGGUGGGGUAAAGGCCUACCAAGGCGACGAUCCGUAACUGGUCUGAGAGGAUGAUCAGUCACACUGGAACUGAGACACGGUCCAGACUCCUACGGGAGGCAGCAGUGGGGAAUAUUGGACAAUGGGCGAAAGCCUGAUCCAGCCAUGCCGCGUGUGUGAAGAAGGUCUUCGGAUUGUAAAGCACUUUAAGUUGGGAGGAAGGGCAGUAAGUUAAUACCUUGCUGUUUUGACGUUACCAACAGAAUAAGCACCGGCUAACUUCGUG
rnacentral:rRNA from 1 species